rnacentral:rRNA from 1 species
UACGGAGGAUCCAAGCGUUAUCCGGGUUUAUUGGGUUUAAAGGGUGCGUAGGCGGCCUGUUAAGUCAGGGGUGAAAGACGGCAGCUCAACUAUCGCAGUGCCCUUGAUACUGAUGGGCUUGAAUAAACUAGAGGUAGGCGGAAUGUGACAAGUAGCGGUGAAAUGCAUAGAUAUGUCACAGAACACCGAUUGCGAAGGCAGCUUACUAUGGUUUUAUUGACGCUGAGGCACGAAAGCGUGGGGAUCAAACAGG